UGCUCUUGCUUCUCUAGUUCUUUUAAUUGUGAUGUUAGGGUGUCAAUUUUAGAUCUUUCCUGCUUUCUCUUGUGGGCAUUUAGUGCUAUAAAUUUCCCUCUACACACUGCUUUGAACGUGUCCCAGAGAUUCUGGUAUGUUGUGUCCUUGUUCUCGUUGGUUUCAAAGAACAUCUUUAUUUCUGCCUUCAUUUUGUUAUGUACCCAGUAGUCAUUCAAGAGCAGGUUGUUCAGUUUCCAUGUAGUUGAGUGGUUUUGAGUGCGGCUGCUUUGUUUACCUACUCAAGCCUCAGCAAUGGUGGGUGCCUCUCCCCCAGCCUCGCUGCCGCCUUGCAGUUUGAUCUCAGACUGCUGUGCUAGCAAUGAGCGAGGCUCCGUGGGCGUAGGACCCUCCGAGCCAUGUGCGGGAUAUAAUCUCCUGGUGUGCCG
rnacentral:lncRNA from 1 species